rnacentral:rRNA from 1 species
AGUAAGGAAUAUUGGUCAAUGGACGAAAGUCUGAACCAGCCAUGCCGCGUGGAGGAUGAAGGUCCUCUGGAUUGUAAACUUCUUUUAUUUGGGACGAAAAAAGAUCAUUCUUGAUCACUUGACGGUACCAGAUGAAUAAGCACCGGCUAACUCCGUGCCAGCAGCCGCGGUAAUACGGAGGGUGCAAGCGUUAUCCGGAUUUACUGGGUUUAAAGGGUGCGCAGGCGGAUAUGUAAGUCAGUGGUGAAAUCUCUAGGCUUAACCUGGAAAUUGCCGUUGAUACUAUAUAUCUUGAAUGCUGUGGAGGUAAGCGGAAUAUGUCAUGUAGCGGUGAAAUGCUUAGAUAUGACAUAGAACACCUAUUGCGAAGGCAGCUUACUACGCAGAUAUUGACGCUCAUGCACGAAAGCGUGGGGAUCAAA